UUUUUCAGUACUCUCUACUUAGUGUGGGGCUGAGGCUCAGAAUCCAAGAUCAAGAGUGACAUGCUCUACCAAAUGAGCCAGCGAGGCAGACCUACUAAAGGAAGUUUUUGUUUUGUUCUGGGCCUUAAUUCGUCCCAUUACAAUGUUCCAUGUCUAUUUUGGUGUCAGAGAGGGGCUCCCCGCAGUUGUAUCUCCUCCUUUGGACUCCUGUGUGAGAAUGUGAAGCAACUACUGGAAAGUUUCCAUGGAAGACCAUUUGAUUCUUUCUUAAGGAUAUCAAGGAGGAGACAUCUACAGUCGCUGAGU
rnacentral:lncRNA from 1 species